UCUCACAGAUGAGUAAAGAAAGUGGUUUCUUUAGUGGAAUCUACCCUUAGUGGAGAUGCUGUGAA
rnacentral:pre_miRNA from 3 species